rnacentral:rRNA from 1 species
UACGUAGGUGGCAAGCGUUGUCCGGAUUUACUGGGCGUAAAGAGCGCGCAGGCGGUCGUUCAAGUCGCGUGUGAAAGCCCCCGGCUCAACUGGGGAGGGUCACGCGAUACUGAUCGACUCGAAGGCAGGAGAGGGUAGUGGAAUUCCCGGUGUAGUGGUGAAAUGCGUAGAUAUCGGGAGGAAUACCGGUGGCGAAGGCGGCAUCCUGGACCGACAUUGACGCUGAACGGCGAAAGCUAGGGGAGCAAACGGG